rnacentral:rRNA from 1 species
CCUGGUUGAUCCUGCCAGUAGUCGUAUGCUUGUCUCGAAGAUUAAGCCAUGCAUGUAAAGUUCAAGCUCCGAUUUGUGAGGGCGAAACCGCGAAUGGCUCAUUAAAUCAGUCAUAAUCUACUUGAUUGUUUAAAGUUUAUAUGGAUAACUGUGGUAAUUCUAGAGCUAAUACAUGCGUGAAGGGAGCGACUUUGCGAAAAGAAGCUCUGCGUUUAUUAGACUAAGACCGGCGGGUCCCGCAAGGGACUCUCUUUUUGGUGGUGACUCUGAGUAAAUAAUGGGUGCAAGCCCAUGUUGCCGACCUGGCAUUCUAAACGGCGCGGCUCGCAAGGGUCCGUCGGCCAGGCGAAUCAAUCGAGUGUCUGCUCUAUCAACUGUGGAUGGUAGGGUAAUUGCCUACCAUGGUGGUGACGGGUAACGGGGAGUUAGGGCUCGACUCCGGAGAACAAGCCUGAGAAACGGCUAGUAGGACUAAGGUCUGCAGCAGGCGCGAAACUUACACAAUGCUAGAUUUCAUAUCACAUAGCGAUGUAGUGAAGAAAAAUAACGAUGUACUUGUAUUUAAACAUACUUGUACAAUUGGAAUGAGACGACUCUAAACCAGUCAGUCGAGUAACAAAUGGAGGGCAAGUCUGGUGCCAGCAGCCGCGGUAAUUCCAGCUCCAUUAGCAUACAUUAAAGUUGUUGCGGUUAAAAAGCUCGUAGUUGAAUUUUGGACGGGCUCUUGUGGGCCGCGGCCGUCUAAAGGCUAGUCGACGAGCGAAUCGAAAGAUCUCCAGUCACUAGCUGGUCGUGGUCCCCACUAGGAGCCCGUUGUUUCGUCACUUAAUCGAGUGCGAAGCGGGCCGGAGCGAUCUGGUAUCUUCGGAUGCCUCCGCUACGGCAUGUUUACCUUGAGAAAAUUAGAGUGCUCAGAGCAGGCAGUUGGGAUGUAAAAGUCUCUUUAUGCUUGAAUAAUGUUGCAUGGAAUAAUAGAAUACGGCCUCGGUUCUAUUCUGUUGGUCUUAUAGAACAACAAACAAGUUGAUUUAGGCACCAAACGGUUGCUUGGAUGGCGUGGUUGCGCCUUGGCUCAUGUUGUCUGGGGCCUAAAAAUCUCAGUACCUUAGCUGGACGCUUCCAUCUAAGCGCCUCCUUGUUAGCCAGCCUUCAAAUCAACUGAGGCAAUGGUUAAAAGAAAUAGUCGCGGCGGCAUCAGUACUGCAUCGUGAGAGGUGAAAUUCUUAGACCGAUGCAAGACUAACUGAAGCGAAAGCGUUUGCCGAGGAUAUUUUCAUUAAUCAAGAACGAAAGUUAGAGGUUCGAAGGCGAUCAGAUACCGCCCUAGUUCUAACCAUAAACGUUGCCAACUAGCAAUUGGAUUGCGAUUCCUUUAAUUGGAGCCUAAAAAACUCCAAUCAUUAUGAUCCAUCCAGCGGCUCUCGUAGGGAAACCAAAGUGUUUGGGUUCCGGGGGAAGUAUGAUUGCAAAGUUGAAACUUAAAGGAAUUGACGGAAGGGCACCACCAGGCGUGGAGCCUGCGGCUUAAUUUGACUCAACACGGGGAAACUUACCAGGUCCAGAC